ACGUCUGUAGCUCAACGGAUAGAGCAGUUUCCUGACUAAGAAUCGGUUGCGGGUUCGAAUUCCGCCAGGCGUA
rnacentral:tRNA from 1 species